AAAGGUUGGAGAAAAGAAAGAGGGAAGGAGGGGGACAACUAUCAUCUAGCUGAAAAUCAUGUUUGUUUUUUUGUUUUCUUCCUUUUUUCUG
rnacentral:ribozyme from 1 species